ACGGGGGCCCGGCACAAGCGGUGGAGCAUGUGGUUUAAUUCGAUGAUACGCGAGGAACCUUACCUGGGCUCAAAUGUAUGUUGACGUAUUCUGAAAGGGAUACUUCUUCGGACAAUAUACAAGGUGCUGCAUGGUUGUCGUCAGCUCGUGCCGUGAGGUGUCGGGUUAAGUCCCAUAACGAGCGCAACCCCUAUUGCUAGUUACCAUCAUUAAGUUGGGGACUCUAGCGAGACUGCCAGUGAUAAACUGGAGGAAGGUGGGGAUGACGUCAAAUCAUCAUGCCCCUUAUGACCUGGGCUACAAACGUGAUACAAUGGCUGGAACAAAGGGAUGCGAAGCAGUGAUGUGGAGCGAAACCCAAUAAAAACAGUCUCAGUUCGGAUUGAAGUCUGCAACUCGACUUCAUGAAGUCGGAAUCGCUAGUAAUCGCGGAUCAGAACGCCGCGGUGAAUACGUUCGUCGGGGUUU
rnacentral:rRNA from 1 species